UUAAAGAACUAGAGGGCAUACUUACCGUGAUCACAAAGGUGGUUUUCCCAGGGUGAGGCUUAUCCAUUGCACUCCAGAUGUGCUGACCCCUGUGAUUUCCCCAAAUGUGGGAAACUCGACUGCAUAAUUUGUGGUAGUGGGGGACUGUUUUCGCGCUCUCCCCUU
rnacentral:snRNA from 1 species